rnacentral:rRNA from 1 species
GCUUGUCUCAAAGAUUAAGCCAUGCAUGUCUAAGUACAAGCCUCAGUAAGGUGAAACCGCGAAUGGCUCAUUAAAUCACACCUAAUCUACUGGAAAGUUACUAGUUACUUGGAUAACUGAGGUAAUUCUUGAGCUAAUACAUGCGUAAAAACCCGACUCACGAAGGGUUGUAUUUAUUAGAUACAAAACCAAUGCAGGGCAACCUGGUUUUUUGGUGAUUCAUAAUAACUUCUCGGAUCGCAUAGCUUCGGCUGGCGACGUUUCAUUCAAAUUUCUGCCCUAUCAACUUUCGAUGGUAAGGUAUUGGCUUACCAUGGUUACAACGGGUAACGGAGAAUUAGGGUUCGAUUCCGGAGAGGGAGCCUGAGAAACGGCUACCACUUCCAAGGAAGGCAGCAGG